rnacentral:tmRNA from 1 species
GGGGGUGCACCGGUUUCGACGGGUGUGAACGUGGACUUGAACUGCAGGUGAGGUCGUCUGUCCUCUGAACGGGCAAAACCUAUAACUGCCGAAGAUAAUCGUCAGUUAGCUCUUGCUGCUUAAGCAGCUGAGCCGGAAAUUAGCUGGUGCUGCUCUGAACCGGUUAAAUUUCUGUCGCAAAUCAGGGCUUGCUGAGUGCGGUGUCCGAUACGUACUUGGGACUUCUAUCGGAAUACGGAUCCGACGCUUGCGGUACUGCUACCGGGUCCCGACAACUACCUCGUACCGCUAAACCUGUAGACGUUCCUGACCCGCAUAUUCGGACGGGGGUUCAAUUCCCCCCACCUCCA